GAAGACGAGCCUGGCCCCAAGGUAAGCUCACCUUUCUUGAUGUGAGGUUGGAAAAGGUGCCUCCUUUCUUCUUGGAUGUACCUCCUUCAGAAAUGGAAAUCUGAGAAAGUCCACUGUAGAUGAUAUAUGCAGAUUGCUGUGCGGAGGACUGUUGAGUCCAAGUUUGGUACCAAGCAGUAGCUCCUUCCCGGGGCAUUUGCAAAAGGGACCGCAUCAGUUCCCAAGUGUGCAGUAGGGAGCAUAUGUCUUUGAAGAAGCCGGAAUGUUGUUUUGUCUUGUUUGUCUUUUUUUGCCUUUUCUAGGGCCCCUCCCGCGGCAUAUGGAGAUGAGGUUCCCAGGCUAGGGGUCUGAUCGGAGCUGUAGCCACCGGCCUACGCCAGAGCCACAGCAACGUGGGAUCCGAGCCUCGUCUGCCACCUACACCACAGCUCAGGGCAGCGCCGGAUACUUCACCCACUGAGCAAGGCCAGGGAUCGAACCCGCAACCUCAUGGUUCUUGGUCCGAUUCGUUAACCACUGUGCCACGAUGGGAAGGCCAAAGAAGCCUGAAUGUUUGUUAAAUGUACGAGGACUUGGGAGAUCUUCCAUGAAAAGCUGGCGCCUUUUCCAAAGGGGUCUUCGCCGUGUUCUUUUGGGGAAACGGACUCAACGCUGCCUUCUGUCUGCGUGCCUGCGGUCCCCAACGGCAGGAAGACCUGUGGCCGCAGUGCAGAGGAUGCUGUGACACUCACCGUGUUUUCUCUUGUCUCAUCACAGGUGGACGGGGCGGACGAUGAAAUCUCUUGGAGCUUGGAGAGUGUGUGUGAGAGCGACCUCGCUGACAGCAACCUCGCAGAAAGUGAUCGAGACUCGGUGGCGGAGCGCACCGACUGCCGCCAGGAUGAGGAGGCUGCAGGAACUCACGACGACGAUGUUGUGGAGGCCGGUGGGAGUGAGAAGACUGAGGCAAAGCCCCGGGCUGGGGGACAUGAGGACGAGGCGGCCCCAGUACCUGAGGUGGAGGUGGAGGAGGAGGCGGGCCAGCCCCGUGAAAAUGGCCAGGAGGAGUCCUUAGCCAUCGCCUGGGCUGAGCCGGAAGACGAGCCUGGCCCCAAGGUAAGCUCACCUUUCUUGAUGUGAGGUUGGAAAAGGUGCCUCCUUUCUUCUUGGAUGUACCUCCUUCAGAAAUGGAAAUCUGAGAAAGUCCACUGUAGAUGAUAUAUGCAGAUUGCUGUGCGGAGGACUGUUGAGUCCAAGUUUGGUACCAAGCAGUAGCUCCUUCCCCGGGGCAUUUGCAAAAGGGACCGCAUCAGUUCCCAAGUGUGCAGUAGGGAGCAUAUGUCUUUGAAGAAGCCGGAAUGUUGUUUUGUCUUGUUUGUCUUUUUUUGCCUUUUCUAGGCCCCUCCCGCGGCAUAUGGAGAUGAGGUUCCCAGGCUAGGGUCUGAUCGGAGCUGUAGCCACCGGCCUACGCCAGAGCCACAGCAACGUGGGAUCCGAGCCUCGUCUGCCACCUACACCACAGCUCAGGGCAGCGCCGGAUACUUCACCCACUGAGCAAGGCCAGGGAUCGAACCCGCAACCUCAUGGUUCUUGGUCCGAUUCGUUAACCACUGUGCCACGAUGGGAAGCCAAAGAAGCCUGAAUGUUUGUUAAAUGUACGAGGACUUGGGAGAUCUUCCAUGAAAAGCUGGCGCCUUUUCCAAAGGGGUCUUCGCCGUGUUCUUUUGGGGAAACGGACUCAACGCUGCCUUCUGUCUGCGUGCCUGCGUCCCCAACGGCAGGAAGACCUGUGGCCGCAGUGCAGAGGAUGCUGUGACACUCACCGUGUUUUCUCUUGUCUCAUCACAGGUGGACGGGCGGACGAUGAAAUCUGUGAGUAUUCUGGAGCCCGGCUCUGCUGAGGAGAAGUCCAGGUGUUGAGGAAAUGGGGGGGGGGCCCGCGAGGGAGGCGGGGUGGGGGGGCUCUCCUGCUCCUUUGGUUGCAGAGACACCCUGAUUCUGGGUUCCUCUGGGAAUGAGGGUGAAGGAUGGGGUGAAAGAGACGACUUCCCAAGAAAGGGCCACCCCAGUUCUAGGGUCCCUGGACGAAAGGAGGCUCUUUGUAUGGCGUGGGUACGUGUCGGGGACACGGCGGGCGGGG
rnacentral:lncRNA from 1 species